UGCCAGCAGCCGCGGUAAUACGUAGGGUGCGAGCGUUAAUCGGAAUUACUGGGCGUAAAGCGUGCGCAGGCGGUUAUACAAGACAGGCGUGAAAUCCCCGGGCUUAACCUGGGAAUGGCGCCUGUGACUGUAUAGCUAGAGUGUGUCAGAGGGGGGUAGAAUUCCACGUGUAGCAGUGAAAUGCGUAGAUAUGUGGAGGAAUACCAAUGGCGAAGGCAGCCCCCUGGGAUAACGCUGACGCUCAUGCACGAAAGCGUGGGGAGCAAACAGGAUUAGAUACCCUGGUAGUCCACGCCCUAAACGAUGCUGACUAGUUGUUCGGGAUUUACAUCCUGAGUAACGUAGCUAACGCGUGAAGUCAGCCGCCUGGGGAGUACGGUCGCAAGAUUAAAACUCAAAGGAAUUGACGGGGACCCGCACAAGCGGUGGAUGAUGUGGAUUAAUUCGAUGCAACGCGCAGAACCUUACC
rnacentral:rRNA from 1 species